GAUGAACGCUGGCGGCGUGCCUAAUACAUGCAAGUCGAGCGAACGGACGAGAAGCUUGCUUCUCUGAUGUUAGCGGCGGACGGGUGAGUAACACGUGGAUAACCUACCUAUAAGACUGGGAUAACUUCGGGAAACCGGAGCUAAUACCGGAUAAUAUUUUGAACCGCAUGGUUCAAAAGUGAAAGACGGUCUUGCUGUCACUUAUAGAUGGAUCCGCGCUGCAUUAGCUAGUUGGUAAGGUAACGGCUUACCAAGGCAACGAUGCAUAGCCGACCUGAGAGGGUAAUCGGCCACACUGGAACUGAGACACGGUCCAGACUCCUACGGGAGGCAGCAGUAGGGAAUCUUCCGCAAUGGGCGAAAGCCUGACGGAGCAACGCCGCGUGAGUGAUGAAGGUCUUCGGAUCGUAAAACUCUGUUAUUAGGGAAGAACAUAUGUGUAAGUAACUGUGCACAUCUUGACGGUACCUAAUCAGAAAGCCACGGCUAACUACGUGCCAGCAGCCGCGGUAAUACGUAGGUGGCAAGCGUUAUCCGGAAUUAUUGGGCGUAAAGCGCGCGUAGGCGGUUUUUUAAGUCUGAUGUGAAAGCCCACGGCUCAACCGUGGAGGGUCAUUGGAAACUGGAAAACUUGAGUGCAGAAGAGGAAAGUGGAAUUCCAUGUGUAGCGGUGAAAUGCGCAGAGAUAUGGAGGAACACCAGUGGCGAAGGCGACUUUCUGGUCUGUAACUGACGCUGAUGUGCGAAAGCGUGGGGAUCAAACAGGAUUAGAUACCCUGGUAAUCCACGCCGUAAACGAUGAGUGCUAAGUGUUAGGGGGUUUCCGCCCCUUAGUGCUGCAGCUAACGCAUUAAGCACUCCGCCUGGGGAGUACGACCGCAAGGUUGAAACUCAAAGGAAUUGACGGGGACCCGCACAAGCGGUGGAGCAUGUGGUUUAAUUCGAAGCAACGCGAAGAACCUUACCAAAUCUUGACAUCCUUUGACAACUCUAGAGAUAGAGCCUUCCCCUUCGGGGGACAAAGUGACAGGUGGUGCAUGGUUGUCGUCAGCUCGUGUCGUGAGAUGUUGGGUUAAGUCCCGCAACGAGCGCAACCCUUAAGCUUAGUUGCCAUCAUUAAGUUGGGCACUCUAAGUUGACUGCCGGUGACAAACCGGAGGAAGGUGGGGAUGACGUCAAAUCAUCAUGCCCCUUAUGAUUUGGGCUACACACGUGCUACAAUGGACAAUACAAAGGGCAGCGAAACCGCGAGGUCAAGCAAAUCCCAUAAAGUUGUUCUCAGUUCGGAUUGUAGUCUACAACUCGACUACAUGAAGCUGGAAUCGCUAGUAAUCGUAGAUCAGCAUGCUACGGUGAAUACGUUCCCGGGUCU
rnacentral:rRNA from 1 species